GCUCAGCACACCCCUUGGCUUCUCCAGGCCCAGUCAUCUAAGACCCUUGAGUGUGGAACUAACAGCUUGGAGAACAGCUUUUGGUCCUAAUUCCAAUUUAGCAAAGUCCCCCCUCACACCUCAAGCCAAUCAGGAUGCUUGUUAAGUGACAAUUAAGGGCGCCUGGGUUCCCAACGGACACCAGGCUGACUGCCCUGCAAGUAAAAGCUUAAGAACUAUUUCACGGUUGGAGAAAACAGGGAGGCCGAGGUUGGCCACCUCUGCUGCUGGGUCCUGGAGAGUCUCAGGAUUCUGUCUGGAGAAGUGGCUGCACAACGAAGAACUUGAUCCAGACCAGCCUUGGCUGCCUUGGUCCACUCGAAAACCACAAGCAAGUCAGUGGCCCUGUCCAGCAGGUGCAGGGCCCUGGGCCCGGGCGCUGCCAUGAUUGGGUGUGUGAACAGGAAGCUGGAUUAGAAGCAGGGGAGUGGGGACUUGAACCUGCAGUCUGAUAUGGGAUAUGAGUGUUACAAAGAGUGGACUGCCGUGCUACGGUGCCAACUUCUGUAGAUUAUUUACAUAAAUAGCACCACGCAAUAUGUGCCUAUUUGUGACUGGCUUAGCCUAUGUGCUUUUGGUUUAUCUAUUUACAGCGUAUGUUAGAAUUUCAUUCCUUUCCAGGCUGAAAAGCACUCCACGUUGUGGAGAUGUCACAGUCUGGCCGUUGAUUCAUCCCUCAGCGGACACUGGGGCUGCCUCCACCUGGGCUGCCCUGAAUUCUGAGCAUAUGAGUGUCGGGGUGCAGAGUUAGUGUUCCUGCUUUCAGUUCUUUGGGCUGUGUACCCAGAAGGCCUUGCUCCAUUGUCUCUCAGCUUUCAGUAUUGCAGCUGGAAAGUCCCCAGUCAUUCUGGACUUGACCUACUUUUUCUUCUCUAGAAAUUUCUAGAGCCACCUCCUCAGUGAACUGAUAUUUCUUCAGGAUUCUAACUUUGGGCUCAUACUGGGAACCCAGGGAGGCUGAGGCCAAGGGGCUCCACCUGUGGCCUUGCUGGCAGGGCUCCCAGGGCUGUAUGUCUGCCCCAGCCUCCCCCACAGCAGUACGCAUGGGAAUUUCUCCUCGCUCCCUCAGUUGGUGGCAACCUCCUCCCUGUGUUGUGCUUUUCUGGGGAC